rnacentral:rRNA from 1 species
AGAGUUUGAUCCUGGCUCAGGAUGAACGCUGGCGGCGUGCCUAAUACAUGCAAGUCGAGCGAACAGACGAGGAGCUUGCUCCUCUGACGUUAGCGGCGGACGGGUGAGUAACACGUGGAUAACCUACCUAUAAGACUGGGAUAACUUCGGGAAACCGGAGCUAAUACCGGAUAAUAUAUUGAACCGCAUGGUUCAAUAGUGAAAGACGGUUUUGCUGUCACUUAUAGAUGGAUCCGCGCCGCAUUAGCUAGUUGGUAAGGUAACGGCUUACCAAGGCAACGAUGCGUAGCCGACCUGAGAGGGUGAUCGGCCACACUGGAACUGAGACACGGUCCAGACUCCUACGGGAGGCAGCAGUAGGGAAUCUUCCGCAAUGGGCGAAAGCCUGACGGAGCAACGCCGCGUGAGUGAUGAAGGUCUUCGGAUCGUAAAACUCUGUUAUUAGGGAAGAACAAAUGUGUAAGUAACUAUGCACGUCUUGACGGUACCUAAUCAGAAAGCCACGGCUAACUACGUGCCAGCAGCCGCGGUAAUACGUAGGUGGCAAGCGUUAUCCGGAAUUAUUGGGCGUAAAGCGCGCGUAGGCGGUUUUUUAAGUCUGAUGUGAAAGCCCACGGCUCAACCGUGGGAGGGUCAUUGGAAACUGGAAAACUUGAGUGCAGAAGAGGAAAGUGGAAUUCCAUGUGUAGCGGCGAAAUGCGCAGAGAUAUGGAGGAACACCAGUGGCGAAGGCGAUUUUCUGGUCUGUAACUGACGCUGAUGUGCGAAAGCGUGGGGAUCAAACAGGAUUAGAUACCCUGGUAGUCCACGCCGUAAACGAUGAGUGCUAGGUGUGAGGGGGUUUUCCGCCCCUUAGUGCCUGCAACUAACGAAUUAGGCACGCCGCCUGGG